rnacentral:rRNA from 1 species
UACGUAGGGGCAAGCGUUGUCUGGAAUCAUUGGGCGUAAAGCGCGUGUAGGCGGUUCGGUAAGUCGGCUGUGAAAGUCCAGGGCUCAACCCUGGGAUGCCGGUCGAUACUGCCGGACUAGAGUUCGGAAGAGGCGAGUGGAAUUCCCGGUGUAGCGGUGAAAUGCGCAGAUAUCGGGAGGAACACCAAUGGCGAAGGCAGCUCGCUGGGACGUUACUGACGCUGAGA